CAAAAAUAGUAACCUGCAUUCCAACUAUAUACCACAUUACAAUGCAGGGACAGAAUUUCAACAAGACAAUCCAGCAUUUCGUAACAUCAUCAAGUGAUACAGAGAGAGAAAAUGGUAUAAUUAAAACUUCACAAGUAAAUAGAUUAGUUAGUGGAUUCACACAGAUAUAUUGGAAACAACCAUGCCUUGCAUGGUUGUACUGAGAGUUAUGCAAGGCAAGCUAUAGGGGCACCAGUCAGAUCAGUGGGUGCUUAUUGUUGGUCCAGUAUUGGGCAUGGGCCAAGUUCCUAUAUUUGUGCCCGGCAGUUGAGGUGGCCCGCCAGUAGGUGCUUACGGUCCUCUAGUGCGUGGUCCACUGUCCCUGAAGUAGUUGUGGGUCCCAAAUAAGAAAAAUAGGCCCGCCCACAUCUUCAAGGACAGGUAUCGCGAGCGAAUAGCUUCAAUGUUGCCAAGCCAGAUGGUGUGGCAGCCAUAUGAAACUGAGUUAGAGGACCUUCUGUCGUGGUGCGUUGCAGGGAGGGCCGUGUGGACGGCAAUGGUGCUGCUUGUAUGUUUCCACAUAAUAGAGAAACAUACACCAAAUCGUGUCGUUCGUCAAUUUGGGAUGAUCCAAGAAAUUCCCCAUGAUGUUGACAUUGAUGAGGUCCUUCAUAAAAUUGAUUUGAGGGGUAAGGCCGGUGUAAAUUGGAUGCAGAGACAUGUUGUGCAUAUACUAGAUUGGGGUAAUCGCCUUCAACGGCGUUUUAAAGUAGUGCUUGGUGAUAUGCCUCCACAGCACGAGUACUUUGGUUGGUUCAACAGGGUAACUCAGAGGUUCAUCAAUAGGCCCGGUGCUAAAUAGGGUUUAAAGCAUGUAAAUAGGGUUUUUCUGUUAAGAAGAAGUCUGGAAUCAGAUAAAGUCUGGAAACUUAACUACUUGAGUAAUAGGUUGGUUCUAAUAUUAUUCUUUUCUGACUUAGUCAAUGUCCACAGUGCAUUAUAGAUUUAAAGGAUAAUGUUUUGAGAGUUGGUGGUGGAGAAGUUUCUGUACCAUUUUUGCAAGAAAAAUACAUCCCAUCACGCUUUCUUGAUGAAGAAAGGUUGUCCCAGCAAGCAUCCAGCUCAGGGACCCCAGUGAAAUUAGGAACAACAGAUAGAAGCAAUAUUGUCCCAAUAGGAGGGUCUCGUGGUGAUAUAAGCCAGGGACCUGAUUUUGAAGCCAAAGUGGCAAAGCUUGUUGAGCUAGGGUUUGGAAGGAAGCAGUCAUACAAGCUGUUAAAUUAUUUGAAGGAAAUGAAGAUCAGGCAGCACGGUUUCUUUUUGGGGGUUGAAGUUAACAUUUAUCUUUAGACUUCAAUUUUUAUGGAAUAAUGUUUGGUUCAGUAAUUUAAUUGCAAAUUAACAAAUUGAAAUUUGUGUACUUGAUACUGAUAGCAUUCCUUUAAAGCUAUUUUGAACCCUGAAAUUGGUGGUGUAACUUGCAAUUCAAAUGAGAGAAAGUAAACAAAUUUCAAAUUUGAGCUUUUA